UACGUAGGGUGCGAGCGUUAUCCGGAAUUAUUGGGCGUAAAGAGCUCGUAGGCGGUGUGUCGCGUCGGCCGUGAAAACCUGGGGCUCAACUCUGGGCGUGCGGUCGAUACGGGCAUCACUUGAGUUCGGCAGGGGAGACUGGAAUUCCUGGUGUAGCGGUGAAAUGCGCAGAUAUCAGGAGGGAACACCGGUGGCGAAGGCGGGUCUCUGGGCAACAACUGACGCUGGAGGAGCG
rnacentral:rRNA from 1 species